rnacentral:lncRNA from 1 species
AAAAUAGCUUGUGAGAGAGACCACGGUUGAUCUGUGGACAUGUUCAAACAGGGUGUGAAUGAGUUUAUUAGCAAAAAGCUGAAAAUAGCUAUGAGCUGGCUUUUGUCCCUCUUCACAGAGUUUGAAUACCAGGGAGUAGCAAAACUCAAAUGUUCUGCAUGCUGCUGCCUAAGUACCUUCAAGUGAUUUUAUCACACGCACUAUGACAUCUCUGUUAGUGUGGAUAUGCAAAGUUAAUGUGACUAAUACCCAAGCUGCUGAGAAGUCUUCAGCCAAAGCAGCGUGUAGCUUGCUUCUUUCUAAGAAUACUGAGGACCAACACUUAAUUCUGAAAAAUCUACUCCCAUUUAUUAAUGGAUGUGCAACUAAUUCCUUAAUAUAAGUAAAUUGCUGGUGAAACGUGCUGGGCUAGGAAGCUUGAAAUUGUCUCAGAAUGAGCAGUAUGGCUUCAUCCUUAUGUCAGGGAAUCAAAGGAUAAAUCCAGCUUUCCAGUGUGUGGAAGGGAGAAAUUAGGACUGGUUUUGAACUAUUGCAUGGUCUGACAUUCUGUAGAGUGGAAGUGAAUGGGAUUAAUGUCUGCUAUUCCUGAAAUACAGCCACUUCCGAGAUGAAAUACAGUAUGUAUUUCAUAGUUCAAAUGAGUACAAUCAGAUCUUCAGGAAAGGAAGUGGAGGGAAACUCCUCAGCUGAAACCACAGAGGGAAUUAACCAAAUUGGGAUGUGGAUAGAGCAUUGCAGCUCCUACUUAAAAUUAAAUGCUCUUUGGUUGUUUCUGAAGACCACAGUAACAUUAAUUACUGCCAUUAGAAAUUUUGCCAUUACCUCUUACAUAAAUACUUUCUUCCAAGAAUCUACAAAUCUCUUUAUAAAGGGGGUCUUAUCUUUAUCUCUGUUUUACAGGUGUGAAAAUGAGGAACAGAAAUUGAACAUCAUCCAAGAGUGGCAUAACUGGAAAUCAAAAUCCACAUCUGCUUCGUCAUGGAAAGCUUUACCUGCCAAUCAAGGAGUAGAAAUGCUGCCACGUGACUCUCACAGCCCGACACAAUCAUUCACUCAUCACACAAGGACUGACAGUGAGGCCAACAAUGCAUGCUGUGCUUUGGAUACAAAGAGCAGUGCAAUCAUACAAAUGUCAAAUGCCAAAGAGGAGCACGUGGAAGCAGUGAAAGGCUUGGAGUGAAAGUGAUGAACAGUAAGGAGAAACUGUCCAUCCAGGCCCCUUGCCUCUCUGCCCAAUCCCACACCUCUCCUGCUUGGACACACCACUCCUGAGCUGCCUUCUUCACUGAUCUCUGUGAGUUCGGCUUGCUCUGAAUCUUGGCCCUACCUUUCACUAUGGAGCAACCUGCCAGGGUCUGCCCAGCACCUUCUGUUCCCUGAGGCCCCCUGUCCUGGGAGGAAUGAGAGGCCACCACACCCUUCCAGUGAUUCACUGGGCAAUGAUUUCUUCAAUGCAUCUCCUGCCGGUAGGCAGUAAGGUCCUUGCGGUUAGCAAACUCUGCCUUUGUAGCUCUAAAAUAUUUAUAUGGUAUUAUUUAGCAGUCACUUUAUAUAGCAAACAAAAUGCAUAGAUCCGGGGUGUCACUGUGAUACAAGUAAGGGAACUCAUUACACAAAUGUGUAGGGUAAAAAAGCACAUUAUAACUGGCUGAUCUUUCAGUUCCAUAGGCUAUAGAGAGGGCAAAACCAGUAAAGGGCCUGGGGGGUUGUUCUUUGUGUUCAGGGCAGAAGUAAAGGCUCCUGGCUUUUUCCCUGCUCAACCAAAGAGACCUAUCUUGGUUUUCUGAAGCAGCAGUGGGUUCAAUGGUCAACCCUUGUGGUAUGUAAAGGAAAAAGCUGCCCACUGAGUACAUAUGAGUUAUGCAGUUAGGACCUCUCCUGACCCCACUGUAACAUAGCUGUUGGUAACAGGACUUGGGGAAACUGCUUCUCCGUGGAUGUAGCAAACAUCUUUCUGGGACACUAGGCCUUCUGUCUCAUCAGCAUCCUCAGUUCUGAGCAGCCUUGAGACGUGGCUGUUGUUGCAAGCCUUCUCCGUCUUUGCAGAUAAUCUGAACAGAGAGAGGGUCAGCAGCCACAGCGUUGCCACGUUUACUGGGCAAGAUUGCAUUUGAGUACAUGUGAACAUUAAUCACCCCUCGCUGCAUUCCUCUGGGUGCCUUUUCUUUUUCAAAUCAUUUCUUCAUCCACCAAAGUCAGCCUCCAAAUACUCGUUUGACUGCAAGCAUGCAGUAGUGCACAAAGUACUUUCGUUUGAGGGAGAAAAUGAGGCAAAGGACUUACUCUCUGCAGUCCUACAAGGUUCAUGUUCUAGUACAAAUGACCACGCAAGAUGCAGGGUGACAGGAAUCAAAACCAGAACUGAAGCAAUUUGCUUCAGGUCACACAGCUCAGUGAUGAAACACCACUGGAAUUGAAAUCUUUCUUCCCACAACUGUAUUUCUUCUUCUGGAACGUGAUUAGCUAGUAAAGCAGAAACUUUCUACUGUAAAUGUGGACCUUAAAGGAGUACUUAAAGUGAUUUAAGAAAUAGAUCUGGAAGAGGGAGAGCAACAGGACGUUUUAGAAUCCUCUGAUGUCAUUCUUCAUUAUUGUGUCUAUGGUGGUUUGGGCUGAGCUUAGUUAGUGCUUGCUCCAAGCUGAUGGUAGAAGAAGAUGACGACAAUUUCAAAUAGGUGUGGUGUCUUUUUUUUUUUUUUUUUUUUGGUGAAUUUCCAUGUUUAUUUGAGAUCGAGAAAUGUCAGAAGUUUCCUUUUUCACACAAAAGAGUUUGGGUACACUUUGAAUUGUACAUUUAAUGUCAUCUAAUAGAGAUGAAUCUUUUACACCUAUUCCCAGAAAAUUGGUAUAAAGUGAUAUGGGGGCUUGGUGGUGAUGGUGGUAAGGUAAUUAUUUUCAUUACUCAUUGAACUGCUCAGAAAUCAUCAGGAGCUGCUCAGACAGCAGCUCCUCAAAAUUCUGCUAUUCAAAAUUGUUCAGCCUUGUAACUUUCCUGAGGAAUGUUCUAAAUCCACCAUCACACACACACACACACACACACACACAAAUUAUCGUGAGGAAACAUAGCUCAGCCCAUGUGAGACAGGACAAGAAAGUGAAGCUUAGAGAGCCUGCAUGCCCAAAGGCACCUACAAAUAGAACAAAGAUCAGUUCUCUGAAUUCUGACUCCUGUUAUUUCUAUCUGACCUGAAAAUUUGCAAUGCUUUUCUUCUGAUUACAACAAAAGGAUUUUUUUUCUGCAGUGAGAAAAUCAGACAGCUCCAUAUUUUAAAAGACUAAUGCAAAAGGUCUGUGCUCUCAGAAACUUCAAUCAGUUGCCAUAUCAAUGAAUGGCAAUGGGGGAAGUGGGAAUAGCAUUAUAUUAACUAAUCUAAAAAUUGACACUAAGAGGAAAAGACCCAUGACAGACGAUUCAGAUAGUAACAAGUUAAAAACAUAUUUUGAACAACAAUUUGUUCUGAAGUUGCAGCAGACUCUGAAAGUCCAUAUCUGGCUGCUACAACACCAGGAACACAUACAGCCCCAGCUGGACGUAUCCCACCUCAGACCCAUCUAGACUUGGGCCCUUGAAGACAUCAAUAGGUAUAAAGAGAGAAUCUAUCACAAGCACAUGAAGAUGUUUUCAUGUCCUUUAAUAGCCCAUGCGAUUUUGCUUGAUUCCAGCCUUCACGAGAUAGUGUAUUUCUACAAAAAUACAAAUACAUGGUAUUUUCUAUCAACAGUCUCAACUUGAUUUAAUCACUUUCAAAGUUAAUUUAGCAGUAUGUGCUUAUUUGGUGCGCUUACUGAUUUAAAAACAGAAUCUUGGAACGGUAUUUUAAACCUGACUUUCCCAGCCUAGCUUUAAAACAUGCCUUCAAGACAUGACAGCAGUGCACCAAAGCUGCUUUGCAGAAAUUCUAGGAUGUGAUUCAUUUGCAUUUUCGAAAACAACUGGGAAGAAAGAAUGAAACUACUCGGAGAGAGAAGUCUCAUUCUAUGCUAUCAUUAGUGCUGAGAAUAACAUACCAGGCAGAUGAAUGGAAUGUUAAUGACAACAGACUUAUGUAUGAAAUACUUUUGGGCUGGGAAACAUUAGAGAGAAUGACAGAGAAAUAAACACAUCAUUUCAAAUCCCCCA